rnacentral:rRNA from 1 species
ACACUCCUGCGGGAGGCAGCAGUGGGGAAUUUUGGACAAUGGGCGAAAGCCUGAUCCAGCAAUGCCGCGUGUGUGAAGAAGGCCUUCGGGUUGUAAAGCACUUUUGUCCGGAAAGAAAUCCUUGGCUCUAAUACAGUCGGGGGAUGACGGUACCGGAAGAAUAAGCACCGGCUAACUACGUGCCAGCAGCCGCGGUAAUACGUAGGGUGCGAGCGUUAAUCGGAAUUACUGGGCGUAAAGCGUGCGCAGGCGGUUUGCUAAGACCGAUGUGAAAUCCCCGGGCUCAACCUGGGAACUGCAUUGGUGACUGGCAGGCUAGAGUAUGGCAGAGGGGGGUAGAAUUCCACGUGUAGCAGUGAAAUGCGUAGAGAUGUGGAGGAAUACCGAUGGCGAAGGCAGCCCCCUGGGCCAAUACUGACGCUCAUGCACGAAAGCGUGGGGAGCAAACAGGAUUAGAAACCCUAGUAGUCCCAUG